rnacentral:lncRNA from 1 species
UCUAUUUCCUGCUGUCGAUAUUUUUUUUCAGCCAGGAUCUCAGAAAGAGUUUUUAUUCGGAUAGUGGGGGGGCUUCUUGUUCUUGAUGUAGAAUCAUCAGCUUUUGAAGGACUGGCUCUCUCGAGUUUAGUUUGCAACUCUCCCCGUUUUUGACUGGCUCUUUCAAGAAGAAUUUCUUCCAAGGUCUUCACAUGGAUGUCACUGACUUUAUUCCCUCUUAUUGUUGCUUCAUCAUUGCUUGGCCUAGUUGGUACGCCUAAUCUCUCCCUCGGAGACUGGGAAAUCUGCAUUUUAUGUGGUGUUUUGUUGAUAUUUGUUUCUGGAGCUUCCACUUUCUUUCCUAGACGCUCUGCCAGGCUCCGCUUUAAUUUGGGAUCACUGUCAUCAUCAGCUGAGAAUUUUCGUUUCCCCAGUCUGUCAGAAAGAUUCAGUCUAACCAAAGGUUCUUCUACUUUGCUUGACAAAGCUACUGUCUUUAGCACAUUUUUAUCACGCUCUUUUUCAGGACCCAGAAUGCUCUGAGGUUGGAUUAGAGGACUGGAAACUCCUGAAGAAACUUCUUGUUGUAAAUUGACACCAGGUUUCUGUGGAGAAGCCACCUGUAAUGCAUUCUGGACUUCAGGAGUUGACAGUAGAGGUGUUUUGGUUUCAUCACCUUUCUUGGAAGACUGGUUAUCAUCAUCUGUGGCAUUAAUUAUAACCUGUCGGUGUUUGGGGUGAGUAAUAUUUUGGUAACUUCCUCCUUUCACACCGGGAACACUCUGCCGCCGAGGAGAGGGGCUAGACUGCACAGAGACUUUGCUGUGUUGAGCUGCUAGCUGGCCUGCCUUUACUUCUUCAGGUGAUGGGAGUGCAGCGGGCACAACGGUUUUGCUUGGAGGUAGGAACAGGCCGUCGACAUUGGGUCGUCCUCUCUCACGGUGUAAAGCACAGUGUAAUUUUUGACAUCCUACUGGAUGAUUUUCCCUGUAGCACGGAAUUUCACUGCGUCGUCCUCUCUCACGGUGUAAAGCACAGUGUAAUUUUUGACAUCCUAGUGGAUGAUUUUCCCUGUAGCACGGAAUUUCACUGCGUCGUCCUCUCUCACGGUGUAAAGCACAGUGUAAUUUUUGACAUCCUACUGGAUGAUUUUCCCUGUAGCACGGAAUUUCACUGCGUCGUCCUCUCUCACGGUGUAAAGCACAGUGUAAUUUUUGACAUCCUACUGGAUGAUUUUCCCUGUAGCACGGAAUUUCACUGCGUCGUCCUCUCUCACGGUGUAAAGCACAGUGUAAUUUUUGACAUCCUACUGGAUGAUUUUCCCUGUAGCACGGAAUUUCACUGCGUCGUCCUCUCUCACGGUGUAAAGCACAGUGUAAUUUUUGACAUCCUACUGGAUGAUGAUUUUCCCUGUAGCACGGAAUUUCACUGCGUCGUCCUCUCUCACGGUGUAAAGCACAGUGUAAUUUUUGACAUCCUACUGGAUGAUUUUCCCUGUAGCACGGAAUUUCACUGCGUCGUCCUCUCUCACGGUGUAAAGCACAGUGUAAUUUUUGACAUCCUACUGGACGAUUUUCCCUGUAGCACGGAAUUUCACUGCGUCGUCCUCUCUCACGGUGUAAAGCACAGUGUAAUUUUUGACAUCCUACUGGACGAUUUUCCCUGUAGCACGGAAUUUCACUGCGUCGUCCUCUCUCACGGUGUAAAGCACAGUGUAAUUUUUGACAUCCUACUGGACGAUUUUCCCUGUAGCACGGAAUUUCACUGCGUCGUCCUCUCUCACGGUGUAAAGCACAGUGUAAUUUUUGACAUCCUACUGGACGAUUUUCCCUGUAGCACGGAAUUUCACUGCGUCGUCCUCUCUCACGGUGUAAAGCACAGUGUAAUUUUUGACAUCCUACUGGACGAUUUUCCCUGUAGCACGGAAUUUCACUGCGUCGUCCUCUCUCACGGUGUAAAGCACAGUGUAAUUUUUGACAUCCUACUGGAUGAUUUUCCCUGUAGCACGGAAUUUCACUGCGUUUAUUUAUUGUCAUGUGCCGGUAUCUACAAAACGGUUGAAAACAGCGUCCUUCCUGCCAGAAUGGGCAAACUGUGUCAUUUCCCCGCGCAGCUUCACAGUGACGGAAUGGGCACGUGUCACCUCUGGUACAGGUAGAGUAGAAAAAAAAAUAGCAAUCUUCUCCUCGACUAGACAUGCUGAAUGAAUUCUCAGAUCAAAGGUGAGGAGGCUUCCUGAAAUAAGCCACUGCCUCCUCGAAGGGAGGACCAGCUCCAAGUCCUCCUAAAAUGGGCUUGAUCUCCUGAUCUUCCAAAUGACAAGCACAAAAUUGUCUUUAAAAUGUAAUCGUUAGCUGGUUAUUCUUAACAGGAACAUCCGGAUCUUCUCUGAGUUCCAAUCUUUUAUUCUCUUAAUACUAGUUAGUCAAUUUUCUAGGAAUUAUUAGGCAAGGGAAUAUCCCCAGUCAAUCUGCUUCUCCGUCGUCGAAGAACAAGUUGGCUUCCAGGGACCCUCAGUCUCCAGGUUUGUUGCGCAACAGAAGGGGGAGGGGAAGAAGUCAUUCUAGAUUGUGAUGCGUGGGGUGGGGGUGGGGAAGGGCAAAGAGAGGGGAGCCAGAAGCCAGCCCACUCUGCCAGGCCUAGAGUCAACGUCACAAUAUCUUAAUCUACAACCAUAACCAUGGCAACUUCCACUUAAACUGAAAUUAUACCAUAAUGAAAAACAAACAAAAAAAGCCACCCACAAACAACAACCAAAAAAUCUGACCAGCCUUUCAAGUGAGCCUUCUACUACAAUGUAUAGUACCACCUUUCCAACCAAACGUAAACAUCAGUGGAGCACAACACCACCCCAGUAUCUGAAACUCUGACCGAAGUCUCGCGCAGCAUUACCAGAGACCUUCAACAAUAACCACCUCUGUGCAACACAACUCGAACCCACGUUAUAACUUUUUCCUCUACUGUAAUGGGUAGAUUCUGGAAUCCAUUUAACUACGGCUAGUGAACUUAUGCCUGCACAGAAAUGCUCACUCCCACUUACUCUGAAAACACUUUUACUGAACUACUACAAGGAUACCCACUUCAUUCAUUUGAAAUUACUACAAAUGCCAUCAGUCCCACCUCAUCCACUGCAACUAAAAGCACAGUAAUUUCUCGUAAGCUCAAUCCGCUUAGAGACAGCAUAAUCACGUCAGUGAAACUAUGAGGAAAACAACUCUUAACUCCAUCUUCCACUGAGCCCUCAACCACAGCACCAGCUGUCACCGAACAGAACCUCCUUCAGUUCCUCUGAGUGGAAAGAAUUAAAUGAAAUACAGGUACCACUGUAUAAAUCAUUGAUUUUGAAAAUAUUACCAUAAUAAAUUUCUCAGAUGCAAAUUAAUUAGGAGAAAAAUUUAUUACUUUAAACGUUAUUUUGAAAAUGGUAAAAGUUAAUGAGUUAAGUAUUAUUUUAAAAUGAUAAAAAAUAUAAAACAUAAAUCGGACACGGUGCACAUCUGUAGUCUUAGCUACUCAGGUGGCUAAAGCAGGAAGAUUUCAAGUUCAAGCAAGCCUGGGCAAUUUAGUGAGACUUGUCUUAAAAAAGGAGAAAAAUUUAUUACUUUAAACGUUAUUUUGAAAAUGGUAAAAGUUAAUGAGUUAAGUAUUAUUUUAAAAUGAUAAAAAAUAUAAAACAUAAAUCGGACACGGUGCACAUCUGUAGUCUUAGCUACUCAGGUGGCUAAAGCAGGAAGAUUUCAAGUUCAAGCAAGCCUGGGCAAUUUAGUGAGACUUGUCUUAAAAAAAAAAAUGACCUGAUGCCUGAUGACUCAGGUGGCUAAAGCAGGAAGAUUUCAAGUUCAAGCAAGCCUGGGCAAUUUAGUGAGACUUGUCUUAAAAAACAAAUGACCUGAUGACCUGGGGAUGUAUCUCUGUGUGAAGGCUCUGGGUUUUAUUUCCCAGUACUGCAAAAAACAAAAGCAAGCAAAUAAAAAACAAAACAAAAACUCAAAACAACAAACAAAACACACACAAAAGGAGAUAAACCCCCC